rnacentral:lncRNA from 1 species
CAGCUUUUGAGCCAGGGGAGAAUGUAAGGCCCAAAUUUUGCCCGGGGCCCAAUAAAACCAAACCCAAAUUAAACCUAGCCCAUUACCCAGUUACAAGUCCAAACCCAAUUUUGGCCCAACCUAAUCCCAUUACACUAGCCCAACCCAAACAAAAAAAAAAAAAAAAAACCUUGGCCACCUACUCCACCACCCUUGUUGGCCACCCACCUUGGCCACCUACUCCACCGCGCUUGUUGGCCACUCACCUUGGCCACCUAAAUCACCCCAACCACUUCACUUGUUUACAAAAACUUUAUUUGUAAAAUUUGGCUAUAAAAGCCAUUCAAGAUUUUGUUUUUUAGGGGUUGUUUUUUGUUUUUUGGAAGAGGUGUUUUUUUUGUUUUUUGGAGGAGGUUUGUUUUUUGGAGGAGGGUUGUUUUUUGUUUUUUGGAAUAGGGGUUGUUUUUUGUUUUGGAAAGGCUAGUUUUUGGAGAUUAAUCAAAGAUCAAAGCAAAAGAGGUUUCUUUUGUCUAUUCUCAUCUUAAGUUCUUUGUUUGUUUAUUGUUUUCCUUUCAAUUUUAUUUUGUUUUUUUUUUAUAUACGAAAGUAAAGAUAAAAGUAAGAAGCUUACCCAUAUUUUCAUUACCGAAAAAUAUUUUUUUUUGAGGUCCGGUCGUCGUGUACGGUGGCGCUGAUGGCGGCCCAUGGGGGUCCAUGACCGAAGCAAAGCCGAACCAACGGCCGGAUUUAGAAAAGAGGGAGAAAGAGAGUGGAGAGCUUUGUUUUAUUUUUUUUAUUUUAUUAUUUUUACUAUUAUUUAUAUUAUUAUUAUUAUUUCUCAUGUAUAUAUUAUUAUUUAUAUUAUUAUAUUAUAUAUGCCUUCUCCAUAUUUAUUUAUAUUAUUACUAUCAUUAUUGUUACUUCUAUUAUUUUUUAUUUCUGACUACUAUUUAUAUAUAUAUGUAUUAUUGUUUGUAUUAUUAUUAUUACUAUCACCCCUAUUGUUAUUACUUUACUUUUGUAUUCUAAUAUAUUAUUAAUAUUACUUAUAUUUUCAUUAUUUUUGCUAUUACUAUUAUUAUUAUAUAUUAAUGUAUAUUUUUAUGUAUAUAUAUUUAUAUAUAGUAUUGUUUUUUUAUUACUUUAAUUUAAUAUUUUUAUUAUAUUUGCUUUUUGUAUUUCUAUAUUAUUAUUAUUAUUAUUGUUAUUAUUAUUAUUUUUAUCAUUGUUUGUGUUAUUUAUUUAUUUACAUAUAUAUCAUUUACUGAAGUUUUUAUUUUACUUUUCAUUAUAUUUGAUCUGUGAUUAUUUCGCGUGUUAACUAAUUUUUGUUAUUCUCGUCUCUUAUUUUAUUUUAUAUUAAUGCAUCUAUUAUGCUCAUGUAUAUUAUCCCGUUUUUUUAUUUUAUUUCGAUUUACAAAUAUCACUUUAUGAUUUCUAAUUCUCUAAAUCUAAUUCAAGUUAAAUGAGUAUAUUCCAAGCCGGUUUAUAAUUAUUCGUUUAAAAAUUCUUUAAAACGGAGACGAUGUUCGAUGUUUAGCAAUUCGGGGAAUCGUGCCCUAUCGUGUUGGGUUGUAAUUUCUUGUUUGCCCAAAAUAAUCGGAUGUCUCUUUAGAAUUUCGUUCAUGUUUUUUAAAAACCUUUUAAAACGAAGGAAAUGUUCGACGUUCGGCAAUUCGGGAAAUCGUGCCUUAUCGUGCUAGGUUGUAAUUUCUCGUUUGUGCAAAAUAAUCGAAUAUCCCUUUGUAAUUUCAUUCACAUUUUCCAAAGCGAGACAAUGUUCAACGUUUAGAAAUUCGAAGAACCGUGCCCUACUGUGUUGGGUUUCGAUUCUCUCGUUGGACUAAAUAAUUGGGCAUCCUUUUGCAGUUUUCAACAUAUAAAUUUUUGAAGUCAAAAUUCGUCAUGUUUUCGAGGGCUUAAAGGAUCAUGUCCUAUCGUGCUGGAUGUGAUGUUAUAUUCCUCUUAGGCAAGAGAAUUUUGAUGACUAACUUGAGUUACUCAAAUGUUAUAAAAAAGGAAUCACAUUUCAAAAAUAUUUUUUAAAGCUUAGACAUAAAAACAGUAUUUAAUCGAUUUGGUAUCAAUUUUGGGCGUAGUGAGGGUGCUAAUCCUUCCUCAUGCGUAACCGACUUCCGAGCCCGUUUUCUAAAAUUUUUGUAGACCAAAAUUGUUGUUUUAGUAAAUCAUAAAUGUUUUAUUAAAAUAACCAAAUUUUUAGGUGAUCCAAUCACACCAAAACAAAAGAUCGGUGGCGACUACAUGCAUUUAUUUUUCAAAAGUUGAUUACCCUUUUUUUUUAAAAUUUUAAAAAUUUUAAAUCGAGGAAUGGUUUCGACAGCUUGGCGACUCUGCUGGGGAAAUUUGAGAGUCGAGCCAUAAAAAUCAAUUAUUUACUGUCUUUUUGACGAAAAUUGAAAAUUUACUUUAAAAAUUAUGUAUCUUUUGGUUGCAUUUGAUUGUGUGAUUGUUUUAGUACGGGUCUUGUAAAAAAAACACUGCAUUUCAUUGCAUGACCACUGUGGUCACACCUUCUAAGUGGGAGUAAGAAACUACGUUUUCGUGAGGUUUUCACCUUCGCAUGGGCUAGUGGAUUGCUUUCGGGGUACAUUCGUACCUAUGAUUUCGUGAGAUUUUCAUCUCCGCAUGGUCAUAGUGAAAUGUAUCCCUCUGAAUCGAACUCGAUCUAUAUGAGCCUAUAAUGGGUGAGGAUUGAGGAAUCUGCUAGUUCGGGUACCUUAUCUCUAAAACUAAACCGCAUAUAAUAAACCUUAGGAACCAUCCUUGGAUGAAGCCGCGUCAAGCCUUAGUACUUACCCGUAUAUGCGUCAUAAUUAUCGUUUGUGCUUGCAUUCUAUCGUUAUUAUUUGACACUAACCGGUGUUUUGUUUUGUUUUGUUGUCUUUUUUGCAUAACAUUGCAUAAUAAAGGAGGCGUUAAUCUGUAUUCAAUUACUAAGUUAGAAAAUUUGACAUGGAGAAUGAAUUUCUUAGUAAAGUUGAGAAUAAUGCGGCCGUUCGUGCAUGGUCGGAGAGGCUGCAAUCAGAGAGAGGGGAUAACUUGGUAGAAGGGUAUGUAUCGGAGCUGCAAGAUUUCACUCGCGUCAAUGUAAUACAGAACGAGCUACAAGAGUUGAGAGACAUUUGGGCUAGUUGGAAUGAAGGAAUCAAGCAAUUGUUUUACCAAAAUUAUGGUGACGUAUCCUACCUGCUAAGCAUUAGAGUGGAUAAGAAUUUGUUCCGAGCCUUGGUGCAGUUUUGGAAUUCUGCGUACAAGUGUUUCACUUUUGGGGAAGUGAAUUUGGUACCUACCAUGGGGGAAUACACUACUUUGCUCAGGUGUCCCAAAAUUCAGGUCCGAAAGACUUAUGCUCGGGUUUUUAGUAGUUAGACAUUUGUGAAGAAACUGAUGAGCAUUUCUGGGAUUAGCGAGCCUUGGGUCACUAGUCGGAUUCAGCAAAAAGGAGAUAGCAAAUGUAUCCCUUGGGAGAAUUUGCGAGAUUUGAUCUUGACACAUCUAGAUGAAAGAAAGAGGGUUGAUAUAUUUGCCUUAAGCAUCUACGGAUUAGUGAUCUUUCCUAAGGCUUUGAGGCACGUGGACGAGGCGGUCAUUGACUUGUUUGAUCGCCUUGAAAAGGGAAUCACACCGGUGUCGAUAAUAUUGGCAGAAACGUUCAGAUCUUUGAGUUCAUGUCGAAAGACAGGCAAGGGGCGAUUCAUUGGAUGUGCACAAUUAUUGAUGACAUAGUUCCACGGGCACUUUUAGAAGGUAGACAGAUUCCUAUCGAGUCUUCUCCAAGGGUUAUUUUCCAUUGAAAGAAGAAGCAGCUAUACAGAGGAGAGAGGAUAUCUCAGAGGAGAAGUGGAUGGACAUUCUUCAGAACCUCAAGGAGGGGGAUAUCGAGUGGAGAGCUUAUUGGAUGGUUCCUGACGAGAUCAUGUACCGAUAUGGUAAAUUCGAUUGGAUGCCAUUGUUAGGAAUUUGGGGAGUUACCGGGUAUACUCCACUGUUAGCCUUGAGGUAAUAUAAGUCGAGGCAGUUUGUACCCACGACCUAUGGGCUUGCUCAGAGUGAAUUCUCAUUUAAAUGUGCUCAUUAUAAGAAGAGAGUUUGAGAGUUAUCGGAUUCUUGGAAGCAAACUUGUUGAAUGAAGAGGUUAGCCGUCGGUUCCAUAGUAACGCUUGAGUAUAGCGAGUGGUUUAGGAAGAGGAUUAAUGAUAAUAUUCUUAGGCCAAGCUUGGAGAAUGCUCGGCCUAUCGGGAAACAAUUACAAAUCGCCCCAUCAGAAUUGGAAAUUAUAAGGCAAGAUUUCGAGAAGAAGAGUUCGGAGCUCAGGAAGAAGAUUGAACAGUUAGAAAAAGAGAAGAUGCAUCUAAGGUUAGACGCUGAUGUUCAGAGGUCAGAGGCUGAGAAAUGGAGAAAAGGAAAAACUCAGGCUGAAGAAGACCUAAACAGCUUGAAGACAGACUACAAGAAGCUGCGUCUAUCUAUGAGGACUGCGGGUUUAGGUAAGACUUCCGAAUAAUGGCGUCACGAAAUUCGAGAAGAAAAAGCCAAUACCGAUCGGUGGGAAAGAAAAUUUCGAGAAGCUCAGGCACGAAACGAAGAUUGGGAGAAGAGUCUGUCGAAGAGCAGAAACGAGCGAGGUGAACUAAGGGCUAGAGUGGCAGAACUUGAGAAGUCCCUGCAUCAGUACCGAAAUCGCAACACCCCAAUAGAGCUGAGGGUAAGCUUGAGCCAGAUAGAAGAGAUGAAAAGAAGGAUAGGAGAGUUAGAGGCAUCACUGCAGAACUGUGAGAUACAGAUCCAGUUUUUCGAGGCAAACGAAGAUCGUUGGAAAGAGUAGCUUCACCAUGCGCAAGACCAAGUCAGAAACAGAGAUUACCUUAUGGGGGAAGCCAUGACCCAAAUUCGGGAGGUAGCAGACUACUUGCAAACUUUAGCGGUUCAAGCAGACGUACUGAGCGUGAAGUAUGAGUUGGAGUCGGAUCGCGGACAAGAGCUGGCCUUAUUGCUUAGAAAAAUUAGGACUUUAAGUGUUAGAGCGAAAUUUUAUUUGUAAUUCGACUUUACGUAAAAGAUUUUAUUUUCGAGUGAAAUUUUCUAAGGGUAAUUGAAUCAAAAUUGAUGCCUCCUUUACAUUAAUGCAUUUGUAUUACAUCAUAUCAUUAUGCAUUAAAGGCCAUAAGAGUUUUCUAAUUAAUUAAUUAAAAAUUAUUUCAGUAACCUAGAAAUUAACGAAAACCAACCAACUACGCACUCCUACGGUACAAGAAAAAAAUCAAUGGAUAAGAGACUCGAGAAAUUGGAGCAAAUGCAAAAGGACAUGCAAGAACAAAUGCAGUCUCAGAUAGAAGAGCAGCUAGCCAGGAUUCAGCGAGAGAUAAAGGAGCAAAUGAUGGAGUCCUAGAAAGAAAUGAUGUCCUAGUUAUCCAAAUUGCUGUUGGGAGGAAUGGAUAAGGGAAAGAGUCCCAUGGACCAAGUUGAGGAAACCAAUGAAGAUCUACAAUAUCCCUUGGCUUUACUCCGGUGCAUAUACCGAUGAAACCCGAGAUUAACCUACAAAAAUCAUAGGUCACAAUCAUGCCCCAGCAAGUUCAGGCCGGAGCUUCAAUUCCGAUAAACUUCCAAGCUGGCUCAGGCUCUAACUUUGUCAACAACACGAACUAUCCGCCCGUUCUCGACUUUGAUGAAGUUGCUGAAGAGGAAAAUGUGAGGAUGGAUUCGUAAAAAUAAUUAGAAGAACAUUGUAGAUGGCUCGAGGAAAAACUUAAAGCCAUCAAGAGCGCGGAUCAUCAUCAAGGGAUUGAUGCCAAGGAUCUGAGUCUGGUCCCAGAUUUAGUCCUCUCCCUUAAAUUCAAAAUGCCUGAAUUUGAGAAAUACAAUAGAACAAGUUGCCUUGAAGCCCACAUCACCAUGUUUUGCAGGCGAAUGACGGGAUAUGUUAACAAUGACCAGCUACUAAUCCACUGCUUUCAAGAUAGUCUGGUUAGAGCGGCGUCUAAGUGGUAUAAUCAACUGAGCCGAGCCAAAAUUAACUCAUGGAAGGACCUGGCUCAGGCCUUUAUGAAGCAAUACAAUCAUGUGACGGACAUGACCCCCGACAGAAUCACUCUCCACAAUAUGAAAAAAAAGUCAAAUGAAAGCUUCAGACAGUAUGCACAAAGAUGGAGAGAGGUGGCCAUACAGGUUCAGUCGCCACUUCUAGAAAAGGAGACGACAAUGCUCUUUAUCAACACAUUGAAAGCCUCUUUUAUCACCCAUAUGUUAGGAAGCGCCACAAAAAGCUUCUUCAACAUAGUGAUGACAGGGGAAAUGAUUGAGAAUGCUGUGAGGAGCAGCAAAAUAGAGUCGGGAGAGAGUACCAGAAAGUCAGCCUCAAGGAAAAGGGACAAUGAAGUGAACAACACGAGCACAUUCAACAAGGGGCAGUCCAAGUCAAUUACCGUGAAUCAACCCAAAACAAUGACUACCAAUCAACAAAGCUCUAUAAGACAAGAAUCCAAUUCGAGAAAGAACACAGAAAGGCCACAAUUCACCCCUAUACCCAUGACAUAUAGGGAGUUGUACCAGAACCUACUCAACACUCAUAUAGUAUCCCCUUUCUACCUAGAGCCACUGCAGCUCCCGUAUCCCAAAUGGUAUGACACAAAUACCCAAUGUGAAUACCACGCGAAAAUUACCGGGUACUCAAUCGAGAAUUGCACUGCGUUCAAGAAAGUAGUCGAAAUACUCAUUAAUGUGGGGAUUGGGAAAUUUGAUGACCCAGCCACGCCCAAUGUAGCAGGAAACCCAUUCCCCAAUUAUAUUGACCAAUGAGUGAAUGGGAUAAAUGAAGACUUGAACAAGAAGACCAAGUAUGAGGUGGCAGAAGUCAGGACCCCGUUAAGGCAGGUAUGGAAGGAAAUGGCCAAGAGAGGAUUGAUUGUGUUGGACUCGAGGGAAGAAUCCAAAGAAGAGAGAAACUAUUGUGAGUUUCACGACAAGGUGGGGCAUGAAAUCCAAGAUUGCGUGGAGUUCAGAGCCCUUGUACAAAACAUGAACAAUAAAGAAAUUGAAUUCUAUGAAGAGAUCAAAAACCUCGUAGAAGGAGAUAUAUGUGCAUCGGAGGAAGAAUCAACGGCACAAAAUCGAACGCCUAACUAUCCCGUGGUGAUCAUUUCGAGACCCAAAAAUAAUGAAGCCGGAGUACAAAUGCCACCGAGGGUCAUAAUCUAAAGACCUAUAGUUUUUCCUUACAAAGACAGUAAAAAAGUCCCAUGGAAUUAUGAUUGCAGUCUGAUGAUGCCGGGAAAGGAGAGCCCAGUUGACGCUUUAAGAGGGGACUAAGGCAAGGGUUUCUAUACACGUAGCGGGAGGCGUUACGAUAUGGCGAAUGAGGAGGUGCAGCCCAUAAAAGGAAAAGCCCAGGUUGUUAAAGAAAUGAAGGGAAAAGCAGCCAAACCUAUUAAUUAGCCAGUUAACGAAGAGGAGACCAAGGAGUUUUUAAAAUUCCUAAAGCAUAGCGAAUACAGCGUGGUGGAACAACUACGUAAACAACCAGCCCGUAUUUCGGUGUUGGCCUUACUUCUAAGCUCGGAAGUUCAUCGUAGCGCGCUGAUGAAGGUCUUAAACGAGACAUACGUUGCCAAUGACAUCUCUGUUAACAAGCUGGACCGUUUGGUGAACAACAUAAGUGUCGACAAUUAUAUCUUCUUUAAUGACGAUGAGAUACCACCCGGAGGCAUGGGGUUGACUAAAGCUCUACAUAUCACCACGCGCUGUAGAAGGUACACGCUGCCAGGCGUACUGAUUGACAAUGGGUCGGCUUUGAACGUCCUGCCUUUGACCACGCUGAAUAGAUUACCUAUAGACAGUUCUCACAUGAAGAAGUGCUAGAACAUCGUAAAAGUAUUUGAUGGCACGGAGAGAAGUGAUGGGCAGAAUCGAGGUGCCUUUUCAGAUUGGGCCAAACACAUAUGAGGUGGAUUUUCUCGUAAUGGACAUUAAGCCCUCAUACAAUUGCUUGUUGGGAAGGCCCUGGAUACAUUCGGCUGGGGCAGUGCCUUCCUCGUUGCAUCAGAAAUUGAAGCUAGUAUCGGAAGGGAGAUUGAUGACGAUCAAGGUUGAGGAGGAUAUUAUUGCAACUGUGAGCAAUAAUGCACCCUAUGUGGAGACAGAUGACGAAGUAAUCGAAUGCUCAUUUCGAUCUUUGGAAUUUGUUAAUGCGAUGUUCAUUACCGAGGGAAGCGAAAUUCUGGUGCCAAAAUUGUCCAAAACCACGAGGAUGAGCCUCCAGCUGACGAUUGGAAGAGGGGCCCUACCCAAAAGGGGACUUGGGAGACAUUUGCAAGGAAAGGUUGAAACGCCAAUGCCGGAAGACAAGAGAGAUCGUUUAGGUUUAAGAUUUAAGUCGAAUGCGAAGAAGGGAGCUGGAAAAGAAGUAAGAAAGAAGAAAAACUCGAUUAACGGGGGAGGAAAUCAAGUGGGAACCAAUGACAUUCCCCCAUAUAUCGAAAACAUUUGUGUCCGGGGGAAUCAUUCAUCCCGAGAGACACACCAAUUACGAGAGCUAUAGGAGAAAGGCUGAAAAGCUUGGACAUUAACGUCAUAUGCGAAGAGGAGACUGGAAGAGAGAAUUUGUCAGGCAUUUACCUCUGUACGCCUGCAAGUGUUUUGGACAACUGGACUGCGGAAGAGAUUCCUGUAGUUUUUAGAAUGGAUUCAGAGUAAUGUCUAAAACACACUUAUUGCUCUACGCCUAGGAGUAAUAAGAAUCUUUUGUGAAAUAGGCCGAUGUUUAAAAAUGACAUUUCAGUAAAAUGCACGGUUAUUAUCAUUUUUGGGCAAAUGUUAUCUCGUCAUUUCAAUUUCAUUCAUAAUCAUACAAAUGAUUACUUUCGGAUUCUUUUAUUCUUGAAACAUUCUUUUAAAUAUUCUUUCAUUCCUCAUUCAUAAUCAUAUCAUGCAAAUAAAUGUUUCGAAUUCUUUUGAUUUUUUGUAUCUGCCUUCGUCAUCAUAACAGGUCCCCAGAUAUUAAUGUUAUGAGUGACAUUGUUAGCGACUCAGAAUUUCCUUUCGAGCAAGAUUUGUGUAUGGAUGAUUCUCAGGAUUUUGAAGAGGACCAAAGCUGUAACCUAUCUCCUGAUUUGUUGAGGAUGGUAGAACAAGACGAGAAACAAAUCCUACCUCACAAAGAAUCAGUCGAAAUUGUGAGUUUAAGAGAAGGACAAGAGGUGAAGAUCGGAACAUGUAUCACCGCGGAGAUGAAGCGAGACCUCAUUGAAUUACUUCAAGAAUUCAAAGAUGUGUUUGCAUGGUCAUACCAAGAGAUGCCCGGGUUAGACACUGACAUCGUGGUGCACCGACUCCCCAUAAAAGAAGAGUGUAAGCCUGUUCAGCAAAAACUCCGAAGAAUGAGGCCCGAUGUCUUGCUAAAAAUAAAGGAAGAAGUUCGAAAGCAGUUUGAUGCUGGAUUCCUAAAGGUGGUAAAAUACUCAGAUUUGGUAGCCAACAUCGUCCCUGAUGUGUGUGGACUAUAGAGAUUUGAAUAAAGCCAGCCCAAAAGAUAAUUUCCCACUACCUCAUAUCGACACCGUAGUGGACAACACGGCGGGACACUCACUGUUUUCAUUCAUGGACGGUUUUUUGGGAUAUAACCAGAUUAAGAUGCAUCCUGAAGAUAUGGAGAAAACCACAUUUGUAACUAUGUGGGGCACGUUCUGCUACAAGGUGAUGCCGUUUGGACUAAAGAAUGCAGGGGCAACUUAUCAAAGAGCCAUGGUAACCCUUUUUCAUGACAUGAUGCAUAAAGAAAUCGAGGUCUAUGUUGAUGACAUGAUAGCUAAGUCUCGAACAGAGAAGGAGUACAUACAAGUCCUGGGGAAAUUGUUCUUGAGGUUGAAGAAGUUUCAGCUAAAACUUAACCCCGCCAAAUGUACCUUUGGAACCAAGUUUGGAAAGUUGCUCGGAUUCGUGGUUAGUGAGUAAGGGAUCAAGAUUGAUCCAGACAAAAUUAAAGCCAUACAAGAGCUAUCCCCGCCACACACUCAGAAAGAAGUUCAAGGCUUUCUAGGAAGAUUAAAUUACAUUGCUCGGUUCAUUUCACAACUGACCGAGAAAUGUGACCCUGUCUUUCGACUCUUCAAGAAACAUAACCUAGGUGAAUGGAAUGAAGAAUGCCAAAGGGUUGUCGACAAGGUCAAACAGUAUUUAUCCAACGCCCCGGUGCUGAUGCCACCUAACCCCGAUAAGCCGUUGAUACUAUAUUUGGCAGUAUUCAAGAACUCCACGGGAUGUGUAUUGGGUCAGCAUGACGAGUCGGGAAGGAAAGAAAAAGCUAUUUACUAUCUCAGUAAAAAGUUCAUGGAAUGUGAGGUGAGGUACCCGCCGAUAGAGAAGUUGUGUUGUGCCCUAAUUUGGACAACCCGAGGACUGAGGCAGUAUAUGUUAUAUCACAUCACUUGGCUUAUCUCAAAAUUAGACCCCUUAAAGUACAUGAUGGAGUCAAUAGCUUUGAAUGGAAGGAUGACCCGAUGGCAGAUUCUACUUUCUGAAUUCAACAUAGUCUAUGUGAACCAGAAAGCAGUAAAAGGAAGUGCAAUAGCAGAUUUUUUGGCCAGUAGAGCCUUGGAAGACUACGAGCCUUUGAAUUUUGACUUCCCGAAUGAAGACCUAAUGUGUGUUGUUACCACUGAAGAAGGUGCCCUAGAAGAACUUCCUUGGAAAUUAAACUUCGAUGGGGCGUCAAAUGUUGUGGGCAAUGGAAUCGGGGCCGUCUUGGUAUCCCCAAAUGGAGAUCAUUAUCCAUUCACUAGUAAAUUGGAUUUUGAUUGUACGAAUAACAUGGCGGAAUACGAGGCGUGCAUCAUGGGAGUCCGUGCAGCUAUAGAACGUAAGAUUAAAGUGCUAGAGGUGUAUGGAGAUUCUGCGCUAGUGAUUUAUCAACUCAAGGGAGAAUGGGAGACCAGAGACCCCAAGUUAAUCGAUUAUCGGAAGUUAGUCCUGGAAUUGAUUAAAGAGUUUGAUGACAUUACCUUUCACGAGACGAAAAUCAGAUGGCUGAUGCUUUGGCUACCUUAGCCUCCAUGAUCAAGGUGAACAAACAAGAAGAUGUCAAACCCAUCCGGAUGAGCAUUUAUGAAACUCCGGCCCACUGUUAUAAUAUUGAAAAAGAUGAAGAGAGAUAUGAUCACCCUUGGUAUCACGAUAUAUUGCAAUACAUGAAGAAUCGUGAAUACCCGGACCAGGUAAGCGAGAAUGACAAAAGAACGCUAAGACGAUUGGCCAUCGACUAUGUCUUAGAUGGAGAUAUCCUAUACAAAAGAAGAAAGGAUCAAGUGCUACUAAGAUGUGUAAAUGCUGUAGAGGCUAAGAAAAUCUUGGAAGAAAUCCAUGAAGGCGUCUGUGGGACACAUGCUAAUGGCUUUACAAUGGCCAGGCAAAUUAUGAGAUUCGGGUACUAUUGGUCCACCAUGGAAGGAGACUGUGUCAAUUACGCUAAGAGAUGUCAUAAAUGUCAAAUUUACGGAGACAAAAUUCAUGUGCCUCUUUCACCGCUGCAUGCCAUGGUUUCUCCAUGGCCAUUCUCUAUGUGGGGCAUGGAUGUGAUUGGACCAAUAUCACCGAAAGCUUCCAAUGGUUAUCGGUUCAUCUUCGCGGUUAUCGACUACUUCACCAAAUGGGUAGAAGCUGCUUCGUAUGCUAGUGUGACCAAGUCGGCAGUGAGCAAGUUUCUGAAAAAAGAGAUUAUAUAUCGAUAUGGAAUGCCAGAGAGGAUUAUAUCUGACAAUGCAUUAAACUUGAACUAUAGUACGAUAGCGGAAGUCUGCAGUCAAUUCAAGAUUAGACAUCACAACUCGUCACUGUCGAAACCAUUCCUCGAUUUAAAAAUUUUAAAAUUAAAAAAAAAAGGGUAAUCGACUUUUGAAAAACAAAUGCAUGGAGUCGCCACCGAUCUUUUGUUUUGGUGUGAUCGGAUCACCUAAAAAUUUGGUUAUUUUAAUAAAAUAUUUAUGAUUUACUAAAAUAACAAUUUUGGUCUACAAAAAUUUUAGAAAACGGGCUCGGGAGUCGGUUACGCAUGAGGAAGGAUUAGCACCCUCAGUACGCCCAAAAUUGGUACCAAAUCGAUUAAAUACUGUCUUUAUGUCUAAGCUUUAAAAAAUGUUUUUGAAAUGUGAUUCCUUUUUUAUAACAUUUGAGUAACUCAAGUUAGUCAUCAAAAUUCUCUUGCCUAAGAGGAAUAUAACAUCACAUCCAGCACGAUAGGACAUGAUCCUUUAAGCCCUCGAAAAUAUGAGGAAUUUUGAUUUCAAAAAUUUAUAUGAUGAAAACCGCAAAAGGAUGCCCAAUUAUUUAGUCCAACGAGAGAAUCGAAACCCAACACGGUAGGGCACGGUUAUUCGAAUUUCUAAACGUUGAACAUUGUCUCGCUUUAAAAAACGUGAAUGAAAUUCCAAAGGGAUAUUCGAUUAUUUUGCAGAAACGAAAAAUUGUAACCCAGCACGAUAGGGCACGAUUUCCCGAAUUGCCGAACGUCGAACAUUUCCUUCGUUUUAAAAGGUUUUUAGAAAACAUGAAUGAAAUUCUAAAGAGACAUCCGAUUAUUUUGGGCAAACAAGAAAUUACAACCCAACACGAUAGGGCACGAUUCCCCGAAUUGCUAAACAUCGAACAUCGUCUCCGUUUUAAAGAAUUUUUAAAAGAAUAAUUAUAAAUCGGCUUGGAAUAUACUCAUUUAACUUGAAUUAGAUUUAGAGAAUUAGAAAUCAUAAAGUGAUAUUUGUAAAUCAAAAUAAAAUAAAAAAACGGGAUAAUAUACAUGAGUAUAAUAGAUGCAUUAAUAUAAAAUAAAAUAAGAGACGAGAAUAACAAAAAUUAGCUAACACGCAAAAUAAUCACAAAUCAAAUAUAAUUAAAAGUAAAAUAAAAACUUAAGUAAAUGAUAUAUACGUAAAUAAAUAAAUAACACAAACAAUGAUAAAAUAAUAAUAAUAUAGAAAUACAAAAAACAAAUAUAAUAAAAAUAUUAAAUUAAAGUAAUAAAAAAAACAAUACUAUAUAUAAAUAUAUAUAUAUACAUUAAUAUAUAAUAAUAGUAAUAGCAAAAAUAUUGAAAAUAUGAGUAAUAUUAAUAAUAUAUUAGAAUACAAAAGUAAAGUAAUAACAAUAGGGGUGAUAGUAAUAAUAAUAAUACAAAUAAUAAUACAUAUAUAUAUAAAUAGUAGUCAGAAAUAAAAAAUAAUAGAAGUAACAAUAAUGAUAGUAAUAAUAUAAAUAAAUAUGGAGAGGGCAUAUGUAAUAUAAUAAUAUAAAUAAUAAUAUAUACAUGAGAAAUAAUAAUAAUAUAAAUAAAUAUGGAGAGGGCAUAUGUAAUAUAAUAAUAUAAAUAAUAAUAUAUACAUGAGAAAUAAUAAUAAUAUAAAUAAUAGUAAAAAUAAUAAAAUAAAACAAAUAUCUCCACUCUCUUUCUCCCUCUUUUCUAAAUCCGGCAGUUGGUCCGGCUUUGCUUCGGUCAUGGACCCCUACGGGCUGUCAUCGGCGCCACCGUACACGGUGGCCGGACCUCAAAAAAAACAUUUUUCGGUAAUGAAAAUAUGGGUAAGCUUCUUACUUUUAUCUUUACUUUCGUAUAAAAAAAUUAAAAAGCAAAAUAAAAUUGAAAGGAAAACAAUAAACAAACAAAGAACUUAAUAUGAGAAUAGACAAAAGAAACCUCUUUUGCUUUGAUCUUUGAUUAAUCUCCAAAAACUAGCCUCUCCAAAAACUAGCCUUUCUAAAACAAAAGACAACCCCUAUUCCAAAAAACAAAAAACCACCCUCCUCCAAAAAACAAACCUCCUCCAAAAAAAAAAAAACACCCCCCACAAAAACAAAGUCUUGAAUGGCUUUUAUAGCCAAAUUUUACAAAUAAAUUUUUUGUAAACAAGUGGAGUGGUUGGGGUGGUUUAGGUGGCCAAGGUGGGUGGCCAACAAAGGUGGUGGAGUAGGUGGCCAAGGUGGGUGGCCAACAAGGGUGGUGGAGAAGGUGGCCAAGGUUUUUAUUUAUUUAUUUAUUUUUUUUGUGUUUGGGUUGGGCUAGUGUAAUGGGAUUAGGUUGGGCCAAAAUUGGGUUUGGGCUUGUAACUGGGUAAUGGGCUAGGUUUAAUUUGGGUUUGGUUUUAUUGGGCCCCGGGUAAAAUUUGGGCCUUACAGCUGCCCCUCUUUACUCAUUGUCGUGUAAGGAGAAUGGAGCAAAGACUAUAAAAAUGACCAAAUUUGCCCGGUCUGGCUAAACCUCAAAAUCUUGCUCCUCAUCUUCCCUAAAGGUAUUCUGAUGUCUUCAAGAGUGUCAAAUUUGCUAUCUUCAACUUCCUUCUUGAAAACUCAGAAACAUUGAUCUGUUAUUUUCGAUUUGCUCUCUGCCGCCACAGAGACGCCAAAUCUGUUAUCUUCGAUCUGCUCUCUGCCGUUACGGAGACGCCAAAUCUGUUAUCUUCGAUCUGUUCUCUGCCGCUACAGAGACGCCAAAUCUGUUAUCCUCGAUCUGCUCUCUGUCGCUACAGAGACGCCAAAUCUGUUAUCUUCGAUCUGCUUUCCGCCGCUACAGAGAUGCCAAAUCAUCUUCAAUCUGCUCUCCGCCGCUACAGAGACGCUGAAUCUUGUUACCUUCGAUCUGCUCUCCGCCGCUAUAGAGAUGCCAAAUUUGUUAUCUUCGAUCUCCUCUCCGCCGUUACAGAGAUACCAAAUCUGUUAUCUUUGAUCUGCUCUCCGCCGCUACAGAGAUGCCAAAUCUGUUAUCUUCGAUCUGCUCUCUGCCGCUACAGAGACGCCAAAUCUGUUAUCUUCGAUCUGCUCUCCGCCGCUACAGAGAUGCCAAAUUUGUUAUCUUUGAUCUGCUCUCCGCUGCUAUAUAGACGCCAAAUCUAUUAUCUUCGAUCUGCUCUCCGCCGCUACAGAGAUGCCAAAUCUGUUAUCUUCGAUCUGCUAUCUGCCGCUAUAGAGACGUCAAAUCUGUUAUCUUCGAUCUACUCUCUGCCGCUACAGAGAUGCCAAAUCAUCUUCGAUCUGCUCUCCGCCGCUACAGAGAUGCCAAAUCAUCUUCGAUCUGCUCUCCGCCGCUACAGAGAUGCCAAAUCUGUUAUCUGUUUCAAGGAAGGUCAGAUCUACUAUGCUUUAGCAUGUUACCCUACUGUUUAGGGGAUAAAGGCACAUCGAUCUUCAUUGUCCCUUGAAGGACUUAACCUGUAUAAUGUAUAUGAGUUCAUGCCUAAUGAUUAGGAUGCCAUGACUCGAAUGAGCCAAAUGCUCCUAACUAAAUGAAUGAUUACGAAUGUAUAAAUAUCAUGAGAGUGGUUUCUUUUUAAAUGUUUAAGGUAUCGUUGCUAAUAGUUCAUCUGGGUUCUCAUCGAUGUACUAUCGUGUCUUCUUGCUUAGUCGUUAUCUUUGAUAAAAGAUUCAAAGAAAUAGUCACAACUUGGACUAUUCUUUCUCCAAUGUUUCCCUCUUUUGAGUCUGGUUAAUUCUGCCUAGUGGCCCUGCUUCAGGUCCUUGUACUGUUUAGAAACUUUCCAGAGUAAUAUGCGUAACCUCUUUUAUGUGAAUGUUAUAGGUCCAAAAAUCGUGAUUUCAAAAAAAUGCUCGAAAGAGAUUAUCAUAAUGGACAAGAUGGAAUUUUAUUGAGCAAAAUUUGAAGUGAAUACAUUAAACAGGACAACAAAUCUGGUAAGGCUCAAAAUAAAAUGAGGAAAAGGUGCCCCAGAUAUGCAGCACAAGCUUCACUAUUCUAGUUUCUCAAAGGCUCAUUCAAACCAAAUGUGUGUUCAGGAGAUCCCGCGUCUUUUGUUGAUGCUCCAAGGUGUAACAUUCUUCUGUCUUGCUAAUUUCGGGAGGACAAGACUGUCAUAUGCCCCAUAUUCAAAAUUUGAGCUGCCCGUUUUCGGGUUUUCAACUCAAAGGCCCUUUUGGUUCCAAAGUGCCCUUUGUGGGUUUUCACCUUUGCCUUUUUUUUUUUACGAAUUCAAAGCGCCCUUUGCGGGUUUUCACUCUAGCCGCCCUUUCUUCAGGUGAAAUACUUCUUGACCGAAUCUGAGUUUACAGGAUUGGGCAAGUUUCUACCGUCCAUUUCGGCUAGAAUCAAUGCUCCUCCAGAGAAAACUUUCUUCACCACGUAAGGCCCUUCCCAAUUAGGCAUCCAUUUCCCUCGAAAGUCCUUCUGUAUGGGAAGGAUCUUUUUCAAAACCAGGUCUCUCUCGUGGAAUUCUCUAGGGCGAACCUUUUUGUCAUAAGCCCGCAUCAUUCGCUUUUGGUACAUUUGACCAUGACGGAUAGCUCUUAACCUCUUUUCCUCAAUUAGGUUUAAUUGAUUAUAUCGAGACUGGAUCCAUUCAGCUUCUUCUAACUUUAAAUUUGACAACACUCGAAGAGACGGGAUCUCGACUUCGAUUGGCAACACUGGUUUCAUUCCGUAGACCAAAGAGAAAGGGGUUGCCCCAGUUGAGUUUCUAACUGACGUUCGAUAAGCAAAGAGGGCAAAUGGCAACUUCUCAUGCCAGUUUCUGUAGGUUUCGUUCAUCUUCCCCACAAUUUUUUUAAUGUUUUUAUUGGCCGCUUCCACUACCCCAUUCAUCUUUGGGCGAUAUGGUGACGAGUUAUGAUGUCUGAUCUUGAAUUGACUGCAGACUUCCGCUAUCGUACUAUUGUUCAAGUUUAAUGCAUUGUCAGAUAUAAUCCUCUCUGGCAUUCCAUAUUGAUAUAUAAUUUCCUUUUUCAGAAACUUGCUCACUUCCGACUUAGUCACACUAGCAUACGAAGCGGCUUCUACCCAUUUGGUGAAGUAGUCGAUAAUCGCGAAGAUGAACCGAUGCCCAUUAGAAGCUUUCGGCGAUAUUGGUCCAAUCACAUCCAUGCCCUACAUAAAGAAUGGCCAUGGAGAAACCAUGACAUACAGCGGUGAAGGAGGCACAUGAAUUUUGUCUCCGUAGAUUUGACAUUUAUGACAUCUCUUAGCGUAUAGGAUAUCUCCAUCUAAGACAUACAUCCUUUCUUAUUUUGUAUAGGAUAUCUCCAUCUAAGACAUAGUCGAUGGCCAAUCAUUUUAGCGUUCUUUUGUCAUUCUCGCUUGCCUGGUCUGGGUAUUCACGAUUCUUCAUGUAUUGCAAUAUAUCGUGAUACCAAGGGUGAUCAUAUCUCUCUUCAUCUUCUUUAAUAUUAUAACAGUGGGCCAGAGUUUCAUAAAUGCUCAUCCGGAUGCGUUUGACAUCUUCUUGUUUGUUCACCUUGAUCAUGGAAGCUAAGGUAGCCAAAGCAUCAGCCAUCUGAUUUUCGUCUUGUGGAAGGUAAUGGAAGGUAAUGUUAUCAAACUCUUUAACCAAUUCCAGGACCAGCUUCCGAUAAUCGAUUAACUUGGGGUUUAUGGUCUCCUAUUCUCCCUUGAGUUGAUAAAUCACUAGCGCAGAAUCUCCAUACACCUCUAGCACUUUAAUCUUACAUUUUAUAGCUGCACGGACUCCCAUGAUACACGCCUCGUAUUCCGCCAUGUUAUUCGUACAAUCAAAAUCCAAUUUACUAGUGAAUGGAUAAUGAUCUCCAUUUGGGGAUACCAUGACGGCCCCGAUUCCAUUGCCCACAGCAUUUGACGCCCCAUCGAAGUUCAAUUUCCAAGGAAGUUCUUCUAGGGCACCUUCUUCAGUGGUAACAACACACAUUAGGUCUUCAUUUGGGAAGUCAAAGUUCAAAGGCUCGUAGUCUUCCAAGGCUCUACUGGCCAGAAAAUCUGCUAUUGCACUUCAUUUUACUGUUUUCUGGUUCACGUAGACUAUGUCGAAUUCAGAAAAUAGAAUCUGCCAUCGGGCCAUCCUUCCAUUUAAAGCUGUUGACUCCAUCAUGUACUUUAAGGGGUCCAAUUUUGAGAUAAGCCAAGUGGUGUGAUAUAACAUAUACUGCCUCAGUCUUCGGGUUGUCCAAAUUAGGGCACAACACAACUUCUCUAUCAGCGGGUACCUCACCUCACAUUCCGUGAACUUUUUACUGAGAUAGUAAAUAGCUUUUUCUUUCCUUCCCGACUCGUCAUGCUGACCCAAUACACAUCCCGUAGAGUUCUCGAAUACUGCCAAAUAUAGUAUCAACGGCUUAUCGGGGCUAGGUGGCAUCAGCACCGGAGCGUUGGAUAAAUACUGUUUGACCUUGUCGAAAGCCCUUUGGCAUUCUUCAUUCCAUUCACCUAGGUUAUGUUUCUUGAAGAGUCGAAAGACAGGGUCACAUUUCUCGGUCAGUUGUGAAAUGAACCGAUCAAUGUAAUUUAAUCUUCCUAGAAAGCCUCGAACUUCUUUCUGAGUGCGCGGUGGGGAUAGCUCUUGUAUGGCUUUAACUUUGUUUGGAUCAAUCUCGAUCCCUUUCUCACUAACCACGAAUCCGAGCAACUUUCCAGACUUGGUUCCAAAGGUACAUUUGGCGGGGUUGAGUUUCAGCUGAAACUUCCUCAACCUCAAGAACAAUUUCCCCAGGACUUGUAUGUGCUCCUUCUCUGUUCGAGACUUAGCUAUCAUGUCAUCAACAUAGACCUCGAUUUCUUUAUGCAUCAUAUCGUGAAAAAGGGUUACCAUGGCUCUUUGAUAAGUUGCCCCUGCAUUCUUUAGUCCAAACAGCAUCACCUUGUAGCAGAACGUGCCCCACAUAGUUACAAAUGUGGUUUUCUCCAUAUCUUCAGGAUGCAUCUUAAUCUGGUUAUAUCCUGAAAAACCGUCCAUGAAUGAAAACAGUGAGUGUCCCGCCGUGUUGUCCACUAGGGUGUUGAUAUGAGGUAGUGAGAAAUUGUCUUUUGGGCAGGCUUUAUUCAAAUUGUCUUUUGGACAGGGACGAUGUUGGCUACCCAAUCUGAGUAUUUUACCACCUUCAGGAAUCCAGCAUCAAACUACUUUCGAACUUCUUCCUUUAUUUUUAGCAAGACGUCGGGCCUCAUUCUUCGGAGUUUUUGCUGAACAGGCUUACACUCUUUUUUAUGGGGAGUCAGUGCACCACGAUGUCAGUGUCCAACCCCGGCAUCUCUUGGUAUGACCAUGCGAAGACAUCUUUGAAUUCUUGAAGUAAUUCAAUGAGGUCUCGCUUCAUCUCCGCGGUGAUACAUGUUCCGAUCUUCACCUCUUGUCCUUCUCUUAAACUCACAAUUUCGACUGAUUCUUUGUGAGGUAGGAUUUGUUUCUCUUCUUGUUCUACCAUCCUCAACAAAUCAGGAGAUAUGUUACAGCUUGGGUCCUCUUCAAAAUCCUGAGAAUCAUCCAUACGUACAUCUUGCUCGAAAGGAAAUUCUGAGUCACUAGCAGUGUCACUCGUAUCAUUAAUAUCUGGGGACCUGUUAUGACGACGAAGGCAGAUACAAAGAAUCAAAAAAAUUUGAAACAUUUAUUUGCGUGAUAUGAUUAUUAAUGACGAAUGAAAGAAUAUUUAAAAGAAUGUUUCAAGAAUAAAAGAAUUCGAAAGUAAUCAUUUGUAUGGUUAUGAAUGGAAUUGAAAUGACGAGAUAACAUUUGCCCAAAAAUGAUAAUAACCGUGCAUUUUUCUGAAAUGUCAUUUUUAAACAUCGGCUUAUUUCACAAAAUAUUCUUAUUACUCCUAGGCCUAGAGCAAUAAGUGUGUUUUGGACAUUACUCUGAAUCCGUUCUAAAAACUACAGGAAUCUCUUCCGCAAUCCAGUUGUCCAGAAUACUUUCAGGCGUGCAGAGGUAAAUGCCCGACAAAUUCUCUUUUCCAGUCUCCUCUUCGCAUAUGACGUUGAUGUCCAAGCUUUUCAGCCUUUCUUCUAUAGUUCUCGUAAUUGGCGUGUCUCUCUCGGGAUGAAUGAUUCCCCCGGACACAAAUGUUUUUGAUAUAUGGGGGAAUGUCAUUGGUUCCCACUUGAUUUCCUCCCCCGUUAAUCGAGCUUUUCUUCUUUCUUGAUUCUUUUCCAGCUCCCUUCUCAUUUGUUUCGCAUUCGGCUUAAAUCUUAAACCUAAGCGGUUUCUCUUGUCUUUCGGCAUUGGCGUUUCAACCUUUCCUUGCAGAUGUCUCCCAAGUCCCCUUCCGGGUAGGGCCCCUCUUCUAAUCGUCAGGUGGAGGCUCAUCCUCGUGGUUUUGGACAAUUUUGGCACCAGAAUUUCACUUCCCUCGGUGAUGAACAUCGCCUUAACAAAUUCCAAAUAUCAAAAUGAGCAUUCGAUUGCUUCGUCAUCUGUCUCUAAAUAGGAUGCAUUAUUGCUCACAGUUGCAAUAAUAUCCUCCUCAGCCUUGAUCGUUAUCAAUCUCCCUUUCGAUACUAGCUUCAAUUUCUGAUGCAACAAGGAAGGCACUGCCCCAGCCGAAUGUAUCUAGGGCCUUCCCAACAAGCAAUUAUAUGAGGGCUUGAUAUCCAUUACGAGAAAAUCCACCUCAUAUGUGUUUGGCCCAAUCUGAAGAGGCACCUCGAUUUUGUCCAUCACUUUUCUCUCCGUGCCAUCAAAUGCUUUUAUGAUGUUCUGGCACUUCUUCAUGUGAGAGCUGUCUAUAGGUAAUCUAUUCAGCGUGGUCAAAGGCAGGACGUUCAAAGCCGACCCAUUGUCAAUCAGUACGCCUAGCAGCGUGAACCCUUUACAGCGCGUGGUGAUAUGCAGAGCUUUAGUCAACCCCAUACCUCCGGGUGGUAUCUCAUCGUCAUUAAAGAAGAUAUAAUUGUCGACACUUAUGUUGUUCACCAAACGGUCCACUUGUUAACGGAGACGUCAUUGGCAACGUAUGUCUCAUUUAAGACCUUCAUUAGCGCGCUACGAUGAACUUCCAAGCUUAGAAGUAAAGCCAACACCGAAAUACAGGCUGGUUGUUUACGUAGCUGUUCCACCACGCUGUAUUCGCUAUGCUUUAGGAAUUUUAAAAACUCCUUGGCCUCCUCUUCGUUAACUGGCUUAUUAAUAGGUUUGGUUGCUUUUCCCUUCAUUUCCUCAACCACUUGGGCUUUUCCUUUUAUGGGUUGCACCUCCUCAUUCGCCGUAUCGUAACGCCUCCCGCUACAUGUAUAGAAACCCUUGCUUUGGUCCCCUCUUGAAGCGUCAACAAAGCUCUCCUUUCCCGGCAUCAUCACACUGCAAUCAUAAUUUCAUGGGACCUUUUUGCUGUCUUUGUAAGGGAAAACUGUAGGUCUUUGGAUUAUGACCCUCGGUGGUAUUUGUACUCCGACUUCAUUAUUUUUGGGUCUCGAAAUGAUCACUACGGGAUAGUUAGGCAUUCGAUUUUGUGCUGUCGGUUCUCCCUCCGAUGCACAUAUAUCUCCCUCUACGGGGUUUUUGGUCUCUUCAUAGAAUUCAAUUUCUUUAUUGUUCAUCAUGUUUUGUACUAGGGCUCUGAACUCCACGCAAUCUUGGAUUUCAUGCCCCACAUUGUCGGGAAACUCACAGUAGUUUCUCUCUUCUUUGGAUUCUUCCCUCGAGUCCAACACAAUCAAUCCUCUCUUGGCCAUCUCCUUCCAUACCCGCCUUAACGGGGUCCUGACUUCUGCCACCUCAUACUUGGUCUUCUUGUUCAAGUCUUCACUUAUCCCAUUCACUCCUUGGUCAGUAUGAUUGGGGAGUGGGUUUCCUGCUACAUUGGGCGUGGCUGGGUCAUCAAAUUUCACAACCCCCACCUUAAUGAGUCUUUCGACUACUUUCUUGAACGCAGUGCAAUUCUCGAUUGAAUGCCCGAUAAUUCCCGCGUGUUAUUCACAUUGGGAAUUUGUGUCAUACCAUUUGGGAUACGGGGGCUGCAGUGGCUCUAAGUAGAAAGGGGAUACUACAUGAGCGUUGAAUAGGUUCUGGUACAACUCCCUAUAUGUCAUGGGUAUAGGGGUGAAUUGUGGCCUUUCUGUGUUCUUCCUCGAAUUGGAUUCUUGUCUUACAGAGCUUUUUUGAUUGGUAGUCACCGUUUUGGGUUGAUUCACGGUAAUUGACUUAGACUGCCCCUUGUUGAAUGUGCUCGUGUUGUUUACUUCAUUGUCCCUUUUCCUUGGGGCCGACUUUCUGGCACUCUCUCUCGACUCUAUUUUGCCGCUCCUCACAGCAUUCUCAAUCAUUUCCCUUGUCAUUACUAUGUCGGAGAAGCUUUUUGUGGCGCUUCCUAACAUAUGGGUGAUAAAAGGGGCUUUCAAGGUGUUGAUAAAGAGCAUUGUCGUCUCCUUUUCUAGAAGUGGCGGCUGAAUCUGUAUGGCCACCUCUCUCCAUAUUUGUGCAUACUGUCUGAAGCUUUCAUUUGACUUUUUUUUCAUAUUGUGGAGAGUGAUUCUGUCGGGGGUCAUGUCCGUCACAUGAUUGUAUUGCUUCAUAAAGGCCUGAGCCAGGUCCUUCCAUGAGUAAAUCUUGGCUCGGCUCAGUUGAUUAUACCACUUAGACGCCGCUCCAACCAGACUAUCUUGAAAGCAAUGGAUUAGUAGCUGGUCAUUGUUAACAUAUCCCGUCAUUCGCCUGCAAAACAUGGUGAUGUGGGCUUCAGGGUAACUUGUUCCAUUGUAUUUCUCGAAUUCAGGCAUUUUGAAUUUAGGGGGGAUGACUAAAUCUGGGACCAGACUCAGAUCCUUGGCAUCAAUCCCUUGAUGAUGAUCCGCGCUCUCUAUGGCUUUGAAUUUUUCCUCGAGCCAUCUACAACGUUCUUCCAAUUAUUUUUGCAAAUCCAUCCUCACAUUUUCCUCUUCAGCAGCUUCAUCCAAGUCGAGAACGGGCGGAUAGUUCGGGUUGUUGACAAAGUUAGAGCCUGAGCCAGCUUAGAAGUUUAUCGGAAUUGAAGCUCCGGCCUGAACUUGCUGGGGCAUGAUUGUGACCGAUGGUUUUUCUAAGUUAAUCUCAAGUUUCAUCGGUAUAUGCACCGGAGUAAAGCCAGGGGGUAUUGGAGAUCUUUAUUGGUUUCCUCAACUUGGUCCAUGGAGCCCUUUCCCUUAUCCAUUCCUCACAAUAGCAAUUUGGAUAACUGGGACAUCAUUUCUUUCUGGGACUCCAUCAUUUGCUCCUUCAUCUCUCGCUGAAUCCUGGCUAGCUGCUCUUCCAUCUGAGACAGCAUUUGUUCUUGCAUGUCCUUUUGCAUUUGCUCCAAUUUCUCGAGUCUCUUAUCCAUUGAUUUUUUUCUUAUACCGUAGGAGUGCGUAGUUGGUUGGUUUUCGUUAGUUUCCAGGUUACUGAAAUAACUUUUAAUUAAUUAAUUAGAAAACUCUUAUGGCCUUUAAUGCAUAAUGAUAUGAUGUAAUGCAAAUGUAUGAAUGUAAAGGAGGCAUCAAUUUUGAUUCAAUUGCCCUUAGAAAAUUUCAUUCGAAGAUAAAAUAUUUUACGUAAAGUCGAAUUACAAAUAAAAUUUCUCUCUAACACUUAAAGUCCUAAUUUUUCUAAGCAAUGAGGCCAGCUCUUGUCCGCGAUCCGACUCCAACUCAUACUUCACGCUCGGUAUGUCUACUUGAACCGCUAAAGUUUGCAAGUAGUCUGCUACCUCCCGAAUUUGGGUUAUGGCUUCCCAUAUAAGGUAAUCUCUGUUUCUGACUUGGUCUUGCGCAUGGUGAAGCUGUUGUUCUUUCCAACGAUCUUUAUUUUCCUCGAAAAACUGGAUCCGCAUCUCACAGUUCUGCAGUGAUGCAUCUAACUCUCCUAUCAUUCCUUUCAUCUCUUCUAUCUGGCUCAAGCUUGCCCUCAGCUCUAUUGGGGUGUUGCAGUUUCGGUACUGAUGCAGGGACUUCUCAAGUUCUGCCACUUUAGCCCUUAGUUCACCUCGCUCGUUUCUGCUAUUCGACAGACUCUUCUCUCAAUCUUCGUUUCGUGCCUAAGCUUCUCGAAUUUUUUUUCCCACCGAUCGGUAUUAGCUUUUUCUUCUCGAAUUUCGUGGCGCCAUUGUUCGGAAGUCUUACCUAAACCCGCAGUCCUCAUAGAUAGGCGGAGCUUCUUGUAGUCUGUCUUCAGCUGUUUAGGUCUUCUUCGGCCUUAGUUUUUCUUUUUCUCCAUUUCUCAGCGUCUGACCUCUGAACAUCAGCGUCUAACCUUAGAUGCAUCUUCUCUUAUUCUAACUGUUCAAUCUUCUUCCUGAGCUCCGAACUCUUCUUCUCAAAAUCUUGCCUUAUAAUUUCCAAUUCUGAUGGGGCAAUUUGUAAUUGUUCCCCGAUAGGCCGAGCAUUCUCCAAGCUUGGCCUAGGAAUAUUAUCAUUAAUCCUCUUUCUAAACCACUUGCUAUACUCAGGCGUUACUAUGGAACCGACGGCUAACCUCUUCAUCCAACAAGUUUACUUCCAAGCAUCCGAUAACUCCCGAACUCUCUUCUUAUAAUGAGCACCUUUAAAUAAGAAUUCACUCUGAGCAAACCCAUAGGUCGUGGGUACAAACUGCCUCGACUUAUAUUACCUCAAGGCUAAUAGUGGAGUAUACCCGGUAGCUCCCCAAAGUCCUAACAAUGGCACCCAAUCGAAGUUACCACAUCGGUACAUGAUCUCGUCAAGAACCAUCCAAUAAGCUCUCCACUCGAUAUCCCCCUCCUUGAGGUUCUGAAGAAUGUCCAUCCACUUCUCCUCUGAGAUAUCCUCUCUCCUCUGUAUAGCUGCUUCUUCUUUCAAUGGGAAAUAACCCUCGGAGAAGACUCGAUAGGAAACUUUGUCUACCUUCCAAAAGUGCCCGUGGAACCAUGCCAUCAAUAAUUGUGCACAUCCAAUGAAUCGCCCCUUGCCUGUCUUUCGACAUGAGCUCAAAAAUCUGAACGUUUCUGCCAAUAUUGCCGGUACCGGUGUGAUUCCCUUUUCAAGGCGAUCAAACAAGUCAAUGACCGCCUCGUCCACGUGCCUCAAAGCCUUAGGAAAGAUCACUAAUCCGUAAAUGCUUAAGGCAAAUAUAUCAACCCUCUUUCUUUCAUCUGGAUGUGUCAAGAUCAAAUCUCGCAAAUUCUCCUAAGGGACACAUUUGCUAUCUCUUUUUUGCUGAAUCCGACUAGUGACCCAAGGCUCGCUAAUCCCAGAAAUGCUCAUCAGUUUCUUCACGAAUGUCUGCCUACUAAAAACCCGAGCAUAAGUCUUUCGGACCUGAAUUUUGGGACACCUGAGCAAAGUAGUGUAUUCCUCUAUGGUAGGUACCAAAUCCACUUCCCCAAAAGUGAAACACUUGUACGCAGAAUUUCAAAACUGCACUAAGACUCGGAACAAAUUCUUAUCCACUCUAAUGUCUAGCAGGUAGGAUACGUCACCAUAAUUUUGGUAAAACAAUUACUUGAUUCCUUCAUUCCAACUAGCCCAAAUGUCUCUCAACUCUUGCAGCUCGUUCUGUACUACAUUGACGCGAGUGAAAUCUUACAGCUCCGAUACAUACCCUUCUACCAAGCUAUCCCCUCUCUCUGAUUGCAGCCUCUCCGACCAUGCACGAACGGCCGCAUUAUCCUUGACUUUACUAAGAAAUUCAUUCUCCAUGUCAAAUUUUCUAAAUUAGUAAUUGAAUACAGAUUAACGCCUCCUUUAUUAUGCAAUGUUAUGCAAAAAAGACAAAACAAAACAAAACACCGGUUAGUGUCAAAUAAUAGCGAUAGAAUGCAAGCACAUAAACGAUAAUUAUGACGCAUAUACGGGUAAGUACUAAGGCUUGACGCGGCUUCAUCCAAGGAUGGUUCCUAAGGUUUAUUAUAUGCGGUUUAGUUCUAGAGAUAAGGUACCCGAACCAGUAGAUUCCUCAAUCCUCACCCAUUAUAGGCUCAUAUAGAUCGAGUUCGGUUCAGGGGGAUACAUUUCACUAUGACCAUGCGGAGAUGAAAAUCUCACGAAAUCAUAGGUACAGAUAUACCCCGAAAGCAAUCCACUAGCCCAUGCGGAGGUGAAAACCUCACGAAAGCGUAGUUUCUUACUCCCACUUAGAAGGUGUGACCACAGUGGUCAUGCAAUGAAAUGCAGUGUUUUUUUUUUAUAAAACCCGUACUAAAACAAUCAUACAAUCAAAUGCAACCAAAAGAUACAUAAUUUUUAAAGUAAAUUUUCAGUUUUCGUCAAAAAGGCAGUAAAUAAUUGAUUUUUAUGGCUCGACUCUCAAAUGUCCCCAGCGGAGUCGCCAAGCUGUCGAAACCAUUCCUCGAUUUAAAAUUUUAAAAAUUUUUAAAAAAAGGAUAAUCGACUUUUGAAAAACAAAUGCAUGGAGUUGCCACCGAUCUUUUGUUUUGGUGUGAUCGGAUCACAUAAAAAUUUAGUUAUUUUAAUAAAACAUUUAUGAUUUACUAAAACAACAAUUUUGGUCUACAAAAAUUUUAGAAAACGGGCUCGGGAGUCGGUUACACAUGAGGAAGGAUUAGCACCCUCACUACGCUCAAAAUUGGUACCAAAUCGAUUAAAUACUGUCUUUAUGUCUAAGCUUUAAAAAAUGUUUUUGAAAUGUGAUUCCUUUUUGAUAACAUUUGAGUAACUCAAGUUAGUCAUCAAAAUUCUCUUGCCUAAGAGGAAUAUAACAUCACAUCCAGCACGAUAGGACAUGAUCCUUUAAGCCCUCGAAAACAUGAUGAAUUUUGACUUCAAAAAUUUAUAUGUUGAAAACCGCAAAAGGAUGCCCAAUUAUUUAGUCCAACGAGAGAAUCGAAACCCAACACGGUAGGGCACGGUUCUUCGAAUUUCUAAACGUUGAACAUUGUCUCGCUUUGGAAAACGUGAAUGAAAUUCCAAAGGGAUAUUCGAUUAUUUUACACAAACGAGAAAUUGCAACCCAGCACGAUAGGGCACGAUUCCCCGAAUUGCCGAACGUCGAACAUUUCCUUUGUUUUAAAAGGUUUUUAGAAAACAUGAACGAAAUUCUAAAGAGACAUCCGAUUAUUUUGGGCAAACAAGAAAUUACAACCCAACAUGAUAGGGCACGAUUCCCCGAAUUGCUAAAUAUCGAACCUCGUCUCCGUUUUAAAGAAUUUUUAAACGAAUAAUUAUAAACCGGCUUGGAAUAUACUCAUUUAACUUGAAUUAGAUUUAGAGAAUUAGAAAUCAUAAAGUGAUAUUUGUAAAUCGAAAUAAAAUAAAAAAAACGGGAUAAUAUACAUGAGCAUAAUAGAUGCAUUAAUAUAGAAUAAAAUAAGAGACGAGAAUAACAAAAAUUAGCUAACACGCGAAAUAAUCACAGAUCAAAUAUAAUGAAAAGUAAAAUAAAAACUUAAGUAAAUGAUAUAUACGUAAAUAAAUAAAUAACACAAACAUAUAAAAAUAAAAAUAAAAAUAAAAAUAAUAAUAUAGAAAUACAAAAAGCAAAUAUAAUAAAAAUAUUAAAUUAAAGUAAUAAAAAAACAAUACUAUAUAUAAAUAUAUAUAUACAUAAAAAUAUACAUUAAUAUAUAAUAAUAAUAAUAGUAAUAGCAAAAAUAAUAAAAAUAUGAGUAAUAUUAAUAAUUUAUUAGAAUACAAAAGUAAAGUAAUAACAAUAGGGGUGAUAGUAAUAAUAAUAAUAAUACAAACAAUAAUACAUAUAUAUAUAUAAAUAGUAGUCAGAAAUAAAAAAUAAUAGAAGUAACAAUAAUGAUAGUAAUAAUAUAAAUAAAUAUGGAGAGGGCAUAUAUAAUAUAAUAAUAUAAAUAAUAGUAAAAAUAAUAAAAUAAAAAAAUAAAACAAAGCUCUCCAUUCUUUUUCUCCCUCUUUUCUAAAUCCGGCCGUUGGUCCGGCUUUGCUUCGGUCAUGGACCCCCACGGGCCGCCAUCAGCGCCACCGUACACGGCGACCGGACCUAAAAAAAACAUUUUUCGGUAAUGAAAAUAUGGGUAAGCUUCUUACUUUUAUCUUUACUUUCGUAUAAAAAAGUAAAAUAAAAUUGAAAGGAAAACAAUAAACAAACAAAGAACUUAAGAUGAGAAUGGACAAAAGAAACCUCUUUUGCUUUGAUCUUUGAUUAAUCUCCAAAAACUAGCCUUUCCAAAACAAAAAACAACCCUCCUCCAAAAAACAAACCUCCUCCAAAAAACAAAAAAAAACCCCCCACAAAAACAAAGUCUUGAAUGGCUUUUAUAGCCAAAUUUUUCAAAUAAAUUUUUUUGUAAACAAGUGGAGUGGUUGCGGUGGUUUAGGUGGCUAAGGUGGAUGGCCAACAAGGGUGGUGAAGUAGGUGGCCAAGGUGGGUGGCCAACAAGGGUGGUGGAGUAGGUGGCCAAGGUUUAUUUAUUUAUUUAUUAUUAUUUUUUUUUGUGUUUGGGUUGGGCUAGUGUAAUGGGAUUAGGUUGGGCCAAAAUUAGGUUUGGGCUUGUAACUGGGUAAUGGGCUAGGUUUAAUUUGGGUUUGGUUUUAUUGGGCCCCGGGCAAAAUUUGGGCCUUACAGUCACCAUAUCGCCCAAAGAUGAAUGGGGCAGUGGAAGCGGCCAAUAAAAACAUUAAGAAAAUUGUGGGGAAGAUGACCGAAACCUACUGAGACUGGCAUGAGAAGUUGCCAUUUGCCCUCUUUGCUUAUCGAACGUCAGUUAGAACCUCAACUGGGGCAACCCCUUUCUCUUUGGUCUAUGGAAUGGAAGCGGUGUUGCCAAUCGAAGUCGAGAUCUCGUCUCUUCAAGUGUUGUCAAAUUUAAAGUUAGAAGAAGCUGAAUGGAUCCAGUCUCGAUAUGAUCAAUUGAACCUAAUUGAGGAAAAGAGGUUAAGAGCUAUCCGUCAUGGUCAGAUGUACCAAAAACGAAUGAUGCGGGCUUAUGACAAAAAGGUUCGCCCUAGAGAAUUCCAUGAGGGAGACCUGGUUUUGAAAAAGAUCCUUCCCAUACAGAAGGACUUUCGAGGGAAAUGGAUGCCUAAUUGGGAAGGGCCUUACGUGGUGAAGAAAGCUUUCUCUGGAGGAGCAUUGAUUCUAGCCGAGAUGGACGGUAGAAACUUGCCCAAUCCUGUAAACUCGGAUUCGGUCAAGAAGUAUUUCACCUGAAGAAAGGGCGGCCAGAGUGAAAACCCGCAAAGGGCGCUCUGAAUUCGCAAAAAAAAAAAGAGGCAAAGGUGAAAACCCACAAAGGGCACUUUGGAACCAAAAGGGCCUUUGAGUCGAAAACCCGAAAACGGGCAGCUCAAAUUUUGAAUAUGGGGCAUAUGACAGUCUUUUCCUCCCGAAAUUAGCAAGACAGAAGAAUGUUACACCUUGGAGCAUCAACAAAAGACGCGGGAUCUCCUGAACACACAUUUGGUUCGAAUGAGCCUUUGAGAAACUAGAAUAGUGAAGCUUGUGCUGCGAUAUCUAGGGCACCUUUUCCUCAUUUUAUUUUGAGCCUUACCAGAUUUGUUGUCCUGUUUAAUGUAUUCACUUCAAGUUUUGCUCAAUAAAAUUCCAUCUUGUCCAUUAUGAUAAUCUCUUUCGAGCAUUUUUUUGAAAACACGAUUUUUGGACCUAUAACAUUCACAUAAAAGAGGUUACGCAUAUUACUCUGGAAAGUUUCUAAACAGUAAAAGGACCUGAAGCAGGGCCACUAGGCAGAAUUAACCAGACUCAAAAGCGGGAAACAUUGGAGAAAGAAUAGUCCAAGUUGUGACUAUUUCUUUGAAUCUUCUAUCAAAGAUAACGACUAAGCAAGAAGACACGAUAGUGCAUCGAUGAGAACCCGGAUGAACUAUUAGCAACGAUACCUUAAACAUUUAAAAAGAAAUCACUCUCAUGAUAUUUAUACAUUCGUAAUCAUUCAUUUAGUUAGGAGCAUUUGGCUCAUUCGAGUCAUGGCAUCCUAAUCAUUAGGCAUGAACUCAUAUGCAUUAUACAGGUUAAGUCCUUCAAGGGACAAUGAAGAUCGAUGUGCCUUUAUCCCCUAAACAGUAGGGUAACAUGCUAAAGCAUAGUAGAUCUGACCUUCCUUGAAACAGAUAACAGAUUUGGCAUCUCUGUAGCGGCGGAGAAUAGAUCGAAGAUGAUUUGGCAUCUCUAUAGCGGCGGAGAGCAGAUCGAAGAUGAUUUGGCAUCUCUGUAACGGCGAAGAGCAGAUCAAAGAUAAUAGAUUUGGCAUCUCUGUAGCGGCGGAGAGCAGAUCGAAGAUAACAGAUUUGGCGUCUCUGUAGCGGCGGAGAACAGAUCGAAGAUAACAGAUUUGACAUCUCUGUAGCGACGGAGAGUAGAUCGAAGGUAACAAUAUUUGGCGUCUCUGUAGCGGCGGAGAGCAGAUCGAAGAUGAUUUGGCAUCUCUGUAGCGGUGGAGAGCAGAUCGAAGAUAACAGAUUUGGCGUCUCUGUAGCGGCAGAGAGCAGAUCAAGGAUAACAAAUUUGGCGUCUCUGUAGCGGCGGAGAGCAGAUCGAAGAUAACAGAUUUAGCAUCUCUGUAGCGGCGGAGAGCAGAUCGAAGAUAACAGAUUUGGCGUCUCUGUAGCGGCGGAGAGCAGAUCGAAGAUAACAGAUUUGGCAUCUCUGUAGCGGCGGAGAGCAGAUCGAAGAUAACAGAUUUGGCAUCUCUGUAGCGGCGGAGAGCAGAUCGAAAGUAACAAGAUUUGGCGUCUCUGUAGCGGCGGAGAGCAGAUCGAAGAUAACAGAUUUGGCAUCUCUGUAGCGGCGGAGAGCAGAUCGAAAGUAACAAGAUUUGGCGUCUCUGUAGCGGCGGAGAGCAGAUCGAAGAUGAUUUGGCAUCUCUGUAGCGGCGGAGAGCAGAUCGAAGAUAACAGAUUUGGCGUCUCUGUAGCGGCGGAGAACAGAUCGAAGAUAACAGAUUUGGCAUCUCUGUAGCGGCGGAGAGCAAAUCGAAGAUAACAGAUUUGGCAUCUCCGUAGCGGCGGAGAGCAGAUCGAAGAUAAUAGAUUUGGCGUCUCUGUAGCGGCAGAGAGCAGAUCGAAAAUAACAGAUCGGUGUCCCUGAGUUUUCAAGAAGCAAGUUGAAGAUAGCAAAUUGGACACUCCUGAAGACAUCAGAAUACCUUUAGGGAAGAUGAGGAGCAAGAUUUUGAGGUUUAGCCAGACCGGGCAAAUUUGGUCCUUUUUAUAAUCUUUGCUCCAUUCUCGUUACACGACAAUGAGUAAAGAGGGGCAGCUGUAAGGCCCAAAUUUUGCCCGGGGCCCAAUAAAACCAAACCCAAAUUAAACCUAGCCCAUUACCCAGUUACAAGCCCAAACCCAAUUUUGGCCCAACCUAAUCCCAUUACACUAGCCCAACCCAAACACAAAAAUAAAUAAAUAAAUAAAUAAAAACCUUGGCCACCUACUCCACCACCCUUGUUGGCCACCCACCUUGGCCACCUACUCCACCACCCUUGUUGGCCACCCACCUUGGCCACUUAAACCACCCCAAC